rnacentral:rRNA from 1 species
AGGAGUUUGAUCCUGGCUCAGAACGAACGCUGGCGGCGUGCUUAACACAUGCAAGUCGAACGUGAAAGCGGGCUUCGGUCCGUGAGUAGAGUGGCAGACGGGUGAGUAACACGUGGGCAACCUGCCCGGAGGUGGGGGAUAACCCUUCGAAAGGAGGGCUAAUACCGCAUAACAUCCCGAGACCCUCGGAUCUUGGGAUCAAAGCUAGCCUCUUCUUGAAAGCUAGCGCCACCGGAGGGGCCCGCGUCCCAUUAGCUUGUUGGUGAGGUAACGGCUCACCAAGGCUGCGAUGGGUAGCCGGCCUGAGAGGGCGAUCGGCCACACUGGAACUGAGACACGGUCCAGACUCCUACGGGAGGCAGCAGUGAGGAAUCUUGCGCAAUGGGCGAAAGCCUGACGCAGCGACGCCGCGUGGAGGACGAAGGCCUUCGGGUCGUAAACUCCUGUCGAGAGGGACGAAAGUCGGGGGAGUUAAUAGCUUUCCCGAUUGACGGUACCUCCAAAGGAAGCCCCGGCUAACUCCGUGCCAGCAGCCGCGGUAAUACGGAGGGGGCUAGCGUUGUUCGGAUUUACUGGGCGUAAAGGGCGCGUAGGCGGCUACGCAAGUCGGACGUGAAAUCCCUCGGCUCAACUGAGGAACUGCGUCCGAAACUGCGUAGCUCGAGUCCCGGAGAGGGUAGCGGAAUUCCCAGUGUAGCG